GGUUAAGUGACUAAGCGUACAUGGUGGAUGCCUUGGCAGUCAGAGGCGAUGAAGGACGUACUAACCUGCGAUAAGCUGUGAGAAGUCGGUAAGAGACGCUAUUACUCACAGAUUUCCGAAUGGGGAAACCCACCCGAGACAACUCGGGUAUCUGUUACUGAAUACAUAGGUAACAGAGGCGAACCGGGAGAACUGAAACAUCUAAGUACCCCGAGGAAAAGAAAUCAACCGAGAUUCCCUCAGUAGCGGCGAGCGAACGGGGAUUAGCCCUUAAGCAUCUUGGAAGUUAGUGGAACGGUCCUGGAAAGGCCGGCGAUACAGGGUGAUAGCCCCGUACACGAAAACAACCUUGAUGUGAAAUCGAGUAGGGCGGGACACGUGACAUCCUGUCUGAAUAUGGGGGGACCAUCCUCCAAGGCUAAAUACUCCUGACUGACCGAUAGUGAACCAGUACCGUGAGGGAAAGGCGAAAAGAACCCCUGUGAGGGGAGUGAAAUAGAACCUGAAACCGUGUACGUACAAGCAGUGGGAGCCCUUCGGGGUGACUGCGUACCUUUUGUAUAAUGGGUCAGCGACUUACAUUUUGUAGCGAGGUUAACCGUAUAGGGGAGCCGUAGGGAAACCGAGUCUUAACUGGGCGUCUAGUUGCAAGGUGUAGACCCGAAACCGGGUGAUCUAGCCAUGGGCAGGUUGAAGGUUGAGUAACAUCAACUGGAGGACCGAACCCACUAACGUUGCAAAGUUAGGGGAUGACCUGUGGCUGGGGGUGAAAGGCCAAUCAAACUCGGAGAUAGCUGGUUCUCCCCGAAAGCUAUUUAGGUAGCGCCUCGGACGAAUACUACUGGGGGUAGAGCACUGUUUGGGCUAGGGGGUCAUCCCGACUUACCAACCCCAUGCAAACUCCGAAUACCAGUAAGUAAUAUCCGGGAGACACACGGCGGGUGCUAACGUCCGUCGUGAAGAGGGAAACAACCCAGACCGCCGGCUAAGGUCCCAAAGUUCUGGUUAAGUGGGAAACGAUGUGGGAAGGCUCAGACAGCUAGGAUGUUGGCUUAGAAGCAGCCAUCAUUUAAAGAAAGCGUAAUAGCUCACUAGUCGAGUCGGCCUGCGCGGAAGAUGUAACGGGGCUCAAACCAGGCACCGAAGCCGCGGAUUCACACUUAUGUGUGAGUGGUAGGGGAGCGUUCUGUAAGUCUGCGAAGGUGUAUCGAGAGGUAUGCUGGAGAUAUCAGAAGUGCGAAUGCUGACGUAAGUAACGAUAAAGGGGGUGAAAAGCCUCCUCGCCGGAAGACCAAGGGUUCCUGUCCAACGUUAAUCGGGGCAGGGUGAGUCGACCCCUAAGGCGAGGCCGAAAGGCGUAGUCGAUGGGAAGCAGGUUAAUAUUCCUGCACGACUUGUAAUUGCGAUGGGGGGACGGAGAAGGCUAGGUGGGCCAGGCGACGGUUGUCCUGGUGAAAGUGCGUAGGUGGUGUUUCUAGGCAAAUCCGGAGACACAACACUGAGACACGAGACGAACACACUACGGUGUGGAAGCCAUUGAUGCCCUGCUUCCAGGAAAAGCCUCUAAGCUUCAGAUUACAAGUCAUCGUACCCCAAACCGACACAGGUGGUCGGGUAGAGAAUACCAAGGCGCUUGAGAGAACUCGGGUGAAGGAACUAGGCAAAAUAGAACCGUAACUUCGGGAGAAGGUUCGCUCUUGAUGGUGAAGUCCCUUGCGGAUGGAGCUGUCGGGAGUCGCAGUGACCAGAUGGCUGGGACUGUUUAUCAAAAACACAGCACUCUGCAAACACGAAAGUGGACGUAUAGGGUGUGACACCUGCCCGGUGCCGGAAGGUUAAUUGAUGGGGUUAGCGCAAGCGAAGCUCUUGAUCGAAGCCCCGGUAAACGGCGGCCGUAACUAUAACGGUCCUAAGGUAGCGAAAUUCCUUGUCGGGUAAGUUCCGACCUGCACGAAUGGUGUAACCAUGGCCAUGCUGUCUCCACCCGAGACUCAGUGAAAUCGAAUUCGCCGUGAAGAUGCGGUGUACCCGCGGCUAGACGGAAAGACCCCGUGAACCUUUACUACAGCUUGGCACUGAACAUUGAACCUACAUGUGUAGGAUAGGUGGGAGGCUUUGAAGGCGUGACGCCAGUUGCGCUGGAGCCGUCCUUGAAAUACCACCCUUGUAUGUUUGAUGUUCUAACGCAGGGCCCUGAAUCGGGCUCGCGGACAGUGCCUGGUGGGUAGUUUGACUGGGGCGGUCUCCUCCCAAAGAGUAACGGAGGAGCACGAAGGUUGGCUAAUCCUGGUCGGACAUCAGGAGGUUAGUGCAAUGGCAUAAGCCAGCUUAACUGCGAGACGGACAGGUCGAGCAGGUACGAAAGUAGGUCAUAGUGAUCCGGUGGUUCUGAAUGGAAGGGCCAUCGCUCAACGGAUAAAAGGUACUCCGGGGAUAACAGGCUGAUACCGCCCAAGAGUUCAUAUCGACGGCGGUGUUUGGCACCUCGAUGUCGGCUCAUCACAUCCUGGGGCUGAAGUCGGUCCCAAGGGUAUGGCUGUUCGCCAUUUAAAGUGGUACGCGAGCUGGGUUCAGAACGUCGUGAGACAGUUCGGUCCCUAUCUGCCGUGGGCGUUGGAUGAUUGAAGGGAGUUGCUCCUAGUACGAGAGGACCGGAGUGAACGAACCUCUGGUGUUCGGGUUGUCACGCCAGUGGCACUGCCCGGUAGCUAAGUUCGGAAUCGAUAACCGCUGAAAGCAUCUAAGCGGGAAGCGAGCCCUGAGAUGAGUCAUCCCUGACCCCUUGAGGGUCCUAAAGGGCCGUUGGAGACCACAACGUUGAUAGG
rnacentral:rRNA from 1 species